UACGUAGGGGGCAAGCGUUGUCCGGAUUUAUUGGGCGUAAAGGGUGCGUAGGCGGUUCCGCAAGUCCUGUGUGAAAUCUUCGGGCUCAACUCGAAGUCUGCACGGGAAACUGCGGGGCUUGAGUGUGGGAGAGGGUGAGUGGAAUUCCCGGUGAUCAGCGGUGAAAUGACGUAGAUAUCGGGAGGAACACCUGUGGCGAAAGCGGCUCACUGGACCAUAACUGACGCUGAUGCACGAAAGCUGGGGGAGCAAACAGG
rnacentral:rRNA from 1 species